rnacentral:lncRNA from 1 species
CGCAAAUGCACAUGCACUAGUCUUGGAACACAAGGCCUCAUUGUGAGCUCUGGUUAGCAUCACAAUGAAUGUCACCAUUGCCUAGCAAAGAGUCCCUGCUGCUUGGUGGAGAAGGAGACCUCUGUGGAAGUGUGUUGGUUGUGGAGUCUUGCCUGUCUUCUCUAUGGUAUCCACGGGGUUGUCCCAUGAUCCUAGGAGAGGAAAAACAUAAGCCAGCCUGAAGAUACGUCAAGCACAGCCACAGGAAUAAACUGCAAAAUCCCUAAGAAUCCAAAAGGAUCUGCAGGAUUUCUCAAGCCUGCCUAGAUGUCGCUUUCAAUCACCACAGAUGGCUUCUGCAACACUAUGUCCAUCUCUUCUGCACACGUCAGAGACAAGUUUGAGGUGGAUCAUAAAUCUGCAGUGAAUUGGGAGACGUGCUGAGACCUGGCGGCAUUCAAAUUAUCAACCCAUGCCAAGAAAGCCACUCUUCUAGAAAGAAGGGGGGUACACCAGAGAAAAAAAAAUCCCAGUGUUUCAUUGUCAUGAGGCUAAGCCAGGAAGAGACACUACAGUCUUGUCUGCAGAGCACCUUAAAUUUAUCUGUAAUUCGGUUCCCAGCUGAGCAGGUGCUUUAUUUUACGAGACGGCACUCCUCCAUUGUUUUGGGAUUUUACCCUGGGAAAUAGAAUGUAAGCAGCAAUAUCCCAUAGAGGUGAGGAUGCAAUCUGAUGAGGGGUGGAUGUUGUCUCACAAUUUCACCUGCAAAAAAAAAAAAAAAGAAGAAGAAGACAAAUACCACAGAAGUUUCUUUCAACACCAUCCUCAGAUUCCUUUAAUUGCAAAAGCAGUCCAUAACAUAGCCUGGUGUUCAACUGGGACUACUCCAGAGUGCAAGGAAUAUUUAGAGUGCAAAUUAGAGCCAUCCUUUCAUACCUGAAGCCAAAAGGAAGUGGAAUAGAUUGAUGCUUAUUAGGAUGUAACCUCCACACUUGCCUCUUCCUUUUCUGACUUUCAUGUUCCUCAUCAUCCUGGGUUUUCCUGAGUCUAGCUCAGCAACUUCCAUAGUAAAUGUUUCCCCACUGACUGAGAACGACUCUCAUGGGAAUCCAUCGUGUAAAUGUUUCCUUCUAAACACUGUCAUGUUUUAAUGACUAGGCAACUUUGAUAAUUUUAAAAUUCUAAAUUCCCUUUACAGCCACCAACAAGGAAACUCUUGUUCUCCUGCUUCUAUAGGAGGGCUGCAUGAUUCCUGCAGAGAGAGAAGCAUGUAGCAUUGUCUGACUUUUGCCUGGUAAUCUAGCCUCUGUGUCAUUUUAUCUGCAUGACAUUCUCAUUGUGGAGGGUUUCUUUAAAUGGGCCAUUGCUGGAUUGGACUGCCUUUUGCCACAGAUUGUUUAGCUACCAGGGAUUUCUGAGAGCAAAGCGGACUUCGGGUCAGCUGGCUACACUCUAGGUUGUGGGUCAUUUCCUCCCUCUGGGGGCUGAGGUUGUUUGCACUUUGUAGGAUUCUUUUGGGUCCUCUGCCAGGAAUCAUUGAACAUUGCUUGGACUCCAGCAGAAGGUAGUUUGUUCUUUCAGGUGAGACUUGAUUUUUCUUUGCUUUCAUGGGGAAUCCACAGUACCCAUCAACAGCACAACUGGACACAUUUUUGUCAGCUUGCCAGCACCACACACCCCCUUUAAGAAACUGUUUUAACCUCAUGUGCAAACUGGAGAGGCCAGUCCGAGGUGUGAGAACACUCUCCACGUUGGACUUGGCUUUGUCGUGGUUCCUACCUUUACCAUAAAGCCCCAGAUGAAUGGAAGAACUGAGGUCAAGAGUUUGGCCAUCUUUGACUGACAGCCAUCUCUGAGGUCUCAGCUAUGAUUAUAUCACCCAAAGAACCCUUGAAAACACACCAGAUUAUAUUCCAAUCCCCAUGGACCAGAUUCUGGUACACAGCCUUCUUCAUGAGUGGAGUCAGAAAAGCAGUUUCCAGCAACCCCCGCACAAUGUCGAAAAGCCUUCUCUUCCAGCAGGACCAAACCACAGGAUGGCCGAUGUGUCCUUGACGUCAAGACUUUUAGGGUCUGACCAUGGGUUUUCACAUGGAACCUUUUUUUCUGAUACAAGGACAGCUCUGCCUAUACCAUUUUCCUCUGCUUAGGCAGGCUGACGGCUCUGACAGCCGGAUGCUCAAACCUGUGUCAUGAAUGCGCAUGCACCAGUCUCUGGUCACGAGGCCUGAUUGUGAGCUCUGUCUAGCGACACAAUGAAUGACACAGUUGCCUAGUAAAAAGUCCCUGCAGCUUGGCAGAGAAGACAUCCGUGGAGGUGCAUUGGUGGUGGGCUCUCGCGUGUCUUCUCUGUGGUAUCCAUGGGAAUGUCCCAUGAUCUUAGGAUAUGACAGAUGUGAGUCAGGCUGAAGAAACAUCAAGCACCCCCCCAGGAAUGAACCGCAAAAUGCCUAAGCAUCCAAAAAUAAUCCGCAGGAUUCCUCAGGCCAGCCUACACACUGUAGGGGUGUCUUUUUGAAAUUUCUCACAUUGUGAUUUCCAGGUACAGCCCACCUGUGUUCCCUGGGGUGUUCUCUUUCAGGUGGGGCUUCCUGCAGAACCACGCAGCCUCAUGAGCUGCAGAGCUGUGUGUUUCUGUAGGAGUGUUGUGAGUGUUGGAUGUCUGAGUGUGUGUGGCUUUGUGUGUGUGUGUGUCUGUGUGUGUGUGCACCUGUAAGUAAAGUCUUACAAAAAUGUGGCUAAAGAACAUCAGCACUUCAUUUUUUUUUGUCACCCAGCCUUUUGUUUGCCUGUCGUGUGCCUCUGCUUGGGCUGCAGAGGUCCAUGUUCUUUACGUUUUCAUGGAUAAUGAAUCUGGAGUGAAUUAGGAGGCAGCCCAAGACCGUCAGUGUCAAAAUCAUUUCCCUCUGGAAAAAAAAAAAAAAUCACUCUUCUAGAAAAAAGAGGAGACAACCAUAGCAAGAAAAUGGAUAUCUCAUAGUGUGUAAUUGUCCUGUGGCCAACCCAGAAAAAGACACUAACAGGCGUGUUGGUAGGGCAAGUUGAAUUUACCUCGAAUUCAGUAUCCCACCGAGCAGGUGCUUCAUGUCAUGAGGAGGAGUGCCUCUAUUGUCUUGGGAUUUGAUCCUAGGGCAUAGAGUGUGAGCAGCAAUAAGGUCAUAAAGGGGUGAAGAUACAGUCUGGUAAGGCAUGGAUGGGGUUCCGUAACUUCACCUCCAAAAAUGAUAAUAACAAUAAAGAGAGAUUACACAGAUGGUGCUUCCAACUCCAUCCCCACCUUCCCUUUAUUGUACUAGCAGUCCACACCGUGGCCCAGUGUUCAAGUGGCAGUUCUCCAAUGUGAAAGAAACAUUUGGAAUGCAAACUGGGUCCAUACUGACAAAUUCCAGAUUUGAGGGCUUACAUACCUGGAGCCAAAUAGGAGUGGAAUGGAUCAAUGCUGGGUGGCAUGUAGCCUCCACACUUUCCUCUUCUUUUCUUGACUUCCAUGUUCCUCAUUGGCCUAGAGUUUCCUGGAUCUUGCUCAAAGAUUUCCACACUAAAUAUUUCCCAGUUCUUGGAGAAUGACUCUCAUCUGUAUCCAUUUCAUGAGUGUUUCCUUUUAAACACUGUUGCAAUUAAAUGACUGGGCAAAUUUGAUUAUUUUUAAACUGUAAAUUCCUGUUACAGCCAAAAACAAGGAACCUCUAGUUCCCCCACUUCUAUCAGAGGGCUGCAUGAUUUCCACAAGAUUAGAAGGAUAUAGCCACGUUGGCAUUUUGCCUGGUAAUCUAGCCUGUUUUAUUUCAUCUUCACUUCACGGCAUUCUCAUUGUGGAUGGGCUCUUUUCAUUGGGCUGUUUCUGGAUGGGACUGCCUCUUGCCACAUAUUAUUUAGCUCCCAGGUAUUUCAGAGAGCAAAAGGGACUUCGGGUACGCUGGCUGUUCAGCAAGGUGUGGGUUGUUGUCUCAUAGUGGAGGCUGAGGUUGUUUGCACCUUGCAGGAGGCUUUCGGGUCUUCUGAAAGGAAUCAUUGAACAUUGCUUUGACUCCAGCACAAGGCAGCUCUUUACCUCAGAUGAGCCUUGAUUUUUCCUUGCUUUCAUGGGGAAUCGAUACUGCCCCUCAACAACAGUACUGGACACCCUUUUGAGUCCUGCCAUUGACACAGGUUACCUCUGAGACACUGUCUCAAUCUCAUCUGCACCUCUGAGAGGCCAGUUCAAGGUGUGAGAACAUUGGUCUACCUUGGACUUGCCUUUGUCAUGGUUCCUGUCUUUCCCAGGAAGUCUCUUGGGGGUCCAGGAUGAAGGGAGGCAGUGAGUUGAAGGGCACAGCCAUCUUUCACUGACAUCAAACUCCGGUUCUCAGAUAUGGUUUUAUCACCCAAAGAACCCUUGAAAACACAACAGAUUAUAUUCCAAUCCCCAUGGGACCUGAUUCUUGCACACAAUCUCUUUCAGGAAUGGAGUCCGAAGAGAAGUUUUCAGAUACCAGCCCACAGUCUCAAAACACCUUCUCCUUCAGUGGGACCUGACCAGAGAGAUGACUUAUAGGGGUCAUGAGGUCAAGAUAUUUAUGAUCUCACAGUGGGUUUUCGCAGGAAGACUUUUUUCUGAUACUAGCAUGGCUCUGACUGUACCAGUAUUCUCUGCUUAGGCAGUCUGACAGCUCUGACAACCAGGCACCACAACCUGCCUCACAAACAUGUAUACACAAAUCUCAGGGCAACAGGCCUUAUUGAGAGCUUCGGUGACUGUCACAAUAAAUGUCACCACUGCCUAGUGACAAGUCUCUAAGGCUUUUCAGAGGAGUCUUCCAUGGAAAUUCAUAGGCUGUGGACUCUCUCCUGUCUUCUCUGUCGGAUCCACAGGACAGUCCCAUGAUUCUAGGAAAGGGCAGAUGUGAGCCAGGCUGAAGAAACAUCAAGCAGAGCCCCAAAAAUAAACCUUGAAAUCCAUAAGGAUCAUAAAGAAUCUGCAAGAUUCCUCAGGUCUGCUUAGACGUAGGUGUAAGUCUUUUUGAAACUUGUCCCACUAUGAUUUGUAGGUACAGAUUGCCUGUAUUCCCUGGGGUUUCUGUCUCACAGGUGGGGCUUCCUCCAGAAACACGCAGCCUCAGGAGCUGCAGGCUCUGUGUUUCUGUGGGAGUUUUGAGAGUGCUGAAUCUCUGGGUUUGCGUGUGGGGGGAGGUAUUUUAAGUUUGUGUGUGUGUGUGUGUGUGUGUGGGUGUGUGUGUGUCUGUAAGUGAAAUCUGCUUACAGGUAUGUGGCUAACACACUUCAGUGCUUCUCUCUUUUUUUUUUUUUUGAGUCUUCAAAUCUUUUGGUGGCCCAUUUGUGUGGUUCUGCUUGGGUUGUGGGGCUCUGUGUUCUUCAUUUUACUGUGGAUCAUGAAUCCUCAAUGAAUCGGGAGGUGGGCUGAGACCCGCCUGCAUCAAAAUCAACUCCCUGUGCCAAAAAAGCCACUGUUGCAGAAAGAAGAGGAGGACAGCCCACCAAAUAACAGACAUCGCCCAGUGUUUUGUUGUCCUGUGGCUAAGCCAAGGAGAGACACUGGAAUUCCUGUCCACAGGGCCCAUUGAAUUUACCUCGAAUUCUGUUCCCAGCCUAGCAGGUGCUUCGUGUAGUGAGGAGGUGAUCCUCUGUCGUCUUGGCAUUUCAUCCUUGGAUAUAGAAUGUGAGCAGCCAUAAGGUCAGAUAAGGGUGAGGAUGCAAUCUAGUAAGUGGUGGAUGUGGUCCCCCAACUACACAUGCAAAAAAAAAAAAAUGAAGGUAAAUGACAAAGAAGGUGCUUCCUACUCCAUUCCCGCUCUCUGUUAAUUGUAGGAGCAGUCAAAACCAUGGCCCAGGGUUCAGGUUGGAGUACCCCAAUGAGCAAGGAAAAUUUGGACAGCAAAUUGGGGCCAUCCUGGCAAGCUCUUGAUUUGAGGGCUUUCAUACCCAGAGCCAAACGAUAGUACAAUAAAUUGAUGCUGGGUGGGAUCUGGCCUCCACACUUGACUGUUCUUUUCCUGACUUCCAUGUUCCUCAUCGUGCUCCACCUUGGACUUGCCUUUGUCGUGGUUCCUUUCCUCCUCAAAGAACCCAUGUGAUAUCCAGGAUGUAGCCAGGCAGUGCAGUCAAGAGUUUUGCCUUCUUUCACUGACAGUGGCCUGGUAUCUCAGGUAUGAUUCUAUCACCCAAAGAAUCCUGAAAAACACACUGUGAUGGAACCUGAUGUUUGCACACACCUUCUUUUGAGAAUAAAGUCAGAAGUGCAAUUUCCAGAGACCAUCACACAAUGUCAAGAUGCCUCCUCUUCCAGUGGGACCUGACCACAGAGAUGGCCCAAAAGGUCCCCAAGGUCAAGAUUUUUAGAGUCUUGGAGUAAGUUUUCACAGGAAGGCUUUAUUCCAACACCAGGAGGGAUGUUCCUGUACUGAUUUCCUGUGCUUAGACAUGCUGACAGCUCUGAGAUUCAGGAGCCCUUGCCUGCCUCAUGAAUGUGCAUGCAGUAGCCUCAGGGUACCAGGCCUUAUUGUGAUCUCUGGCUAGUGUCACCAUGAAUGUUGUCAUUGCCUAGCAACAACAAGUCCCUGUGGCUUGGUGGAAAAGGAGACCUCCAUGGAAGUGUGUAGGCAAUGGAAUCCAGCGUUUUCUAUGUUGGAUUCAUGAGAUAGUCUUCUGAUCCCAGGAGAGGGCAGACCUGACUCAGCCUGAAGAAACAUCAAGCAAAGCCAUAGGAAUAAACAGUGAUGUUCCAAAAAAUCUAAGAGGAUCUCCAGGAUUUCUUAAAACUCUAUAUAUGUUGUAGGGAUGAGUCUUUUUGAUACUUGCCCCACUGGGAUUUCUAGAUAAAACCUGCCUGUGUUCCGGUAGGUUGCUCCCUCCCAGGUGGGGCUUCUUGCAUAACCACACAUUUUCAGGAGCUGCUGAGCUGUGUACUUCUAAGGGAAAGUUGAGAUUGUUUGAUGUCUGAGUGUUUGUCAUUCUGUUUUAGUUAUUUUUAUGUUUAUUUUUAUGUGUGCGUGUGUGUGUGUG